rnacentral:rRNA from 1 species
UUGUGGCUCAGGACGAACGCUGGCGGCGUGCCUAAUACAUGCAAGUUGAACGCUUCUUUCUUAUCGAACUUCGGUUCACCAAGAAAGAAGAGUCAGCGAACGGGUGAGUAACACGUGGGUAACCUGCCCAUCAGCGGGGGAUAACACUUGGAAACAGGUGCUAAUACCGCAUAAUACUUUUUCUCUCAUGAGUGAAAGUUGAAAGGCGCUUUUGCGUCACUGAUGGAUGGACCCGCGGUGCAUUAGCUAGUUGGUAGGGUAACGGCCUACCAAGGCAACGAUGCAUAGCCGACCUGAGAGGGUGAUCGGCCACACUGGGACUGAGACACGGCCCAGACUCCUACGGGAGGCACCAGUAGGGAAUUUUCGGCAAUGGACGAAAGUCUGACCGAGCAACGCCGCGUGAGUGAAGAAGGUUUUCGGAUCGUAAAACUCUGUUGUUAGAGAAGAACAAGGAUGAGAAGAGAAUGUUCAUCCCUUGACGGUAUCUAACCAGAAAGCCACGGCUAACUACGUGCCAGCAGCCGCGGUAAUACGUAGGUGGCAAGCGUUGUCCGGAUUUAUUGGGCGUAAAGCGAGCGCAGGCGGUUCUUUAAGUCUGAUGUGAAAGCCCCCGGCUCAACCGGGGAGGGUCAUGGAAACUGGGAACUUGAGGCAAAAGGGAGAGUGGAACUCCAUGUGUAGCGGUGA